rnacentral:rRNA from 1 species
UACGUAGGCAGCAAGCGUUGUUCGGAAUUACUGGGCGUAAAGCGUGUGUAGGCGGUUCCUUAAGUUCCGUGUGAAAUCUCCCGGCUCCACUGGGGGGGUGCGGGGGAAACUGGGGGGCUCGAGUAUGGGAGAGGAAAGCGGAAUUCCUGGUGUAGAGGUGAAAUGCGUAGAUAUCAGGAGGAACACCUGCGGUGUAGACAGCUUUCUGGACCAUCACUGACGCUGAGACACGAAAGCGUGGGGAGCAAACAGG